rnacentral:rRNA from 1 species
ACUCCUACGGGAGGCAGCAGUGGGGAAUAUUGGACAAUGGGCGAAAGCCUGAUCCAGCCAUGCCGCGUGUGUGAAGAAGGUCUUCGGAUUGUAAAGCACUUUAAGUUGGGAGGAAGGGCAGUAAGUUAAUACCUUGCUGUUUUGACGUUACCGACAGAAUAAGCACCGGCUAACUCUGUGCCAGCAGCCGCGGUAAUACAGAGGGUGCAAGCGUUAAUCGGAAUUACUGGGCGUAAAGCGCGCGUAGGUGGUUUGUUAAGUUGGAUGUGAAAGCCCCCGGGCUCAACCUGGGAACUGCAUCCAAAACUGGCAAGCUAGAGUACGGUAGAGGUGUGGAAUUUCCUGUGUAGCGGUGAAAUGCGUAGAUAUAGGAAGGAACACCAGUGGCGAAGGCGACCACCUGGACUGAUACUGACACUGAGGUGCGAAAGCGUGGGAGCAAACAGGAUUAGAUACCCCUGGUAGGAUAGCG